UGUGGAAAUCCAACGCCCGACUCGUCCGACACGGGUAAAUUGACAGUCGGACAAGCGUGUUUUUCUGGUUUCAGUUGUCCGCGGACAAGUGCAAUUUUCUGGAGAAAAAAGAAUUAUAUGUGCUAUGCGCAUUGUUGUUGAUGGCAAACCUUUAGAAGAGUUUGACCCACUACCAGCUGUGGAAUUCUGGCUGUCAUCUGGCAACAGGCACACCACUCAUAAAAAACCUGAAAAGUCAUCAGCAUCCACUUCUGCAGGACCAUCAGUCCAGGAACCAUGCAGUUCAGCUCAAGCAGAAAUGAACAGCAUUCAGCCCAUGCUGUCUGAGAUGGUAAAGAUUCUUGGGGGGAGAAGAUGUUGCAAGACAAAAGCUGAAGAACAUGGCAGAAAAUGAAUCAGGAUAGUGUUCUGUUAUGUAACUGUAAUAUGUGAAACAGAACUAGUGUAGCUAUAAUUAAGGCAUUGUUUAUUAGUGAGUUAAAAUGAUAAGGGAAUCUUUUAUAUAAUGUUCUAGAGCAAGGUGGCAAAAUACUACUUCCUGAAAGAACUUUUUUCAGUUUUAAAAUGGAAGGCAGUUUUGGUAUCAAUAAAAGAGAACAGAAAAAAUAAA